AGCAAUGUUACGGAACUCAUGAUG
rnacentral:siRNA from 1 species